UCCCUGAUGUGGGCAUGCUCUGAGGGUCUUGCUCAAGUGGUUUUGAUAGUUCAACAGUUAUGAAUUGCUGCAAAUCUUGCCACUCCGAGCACUAUGAGUUCUUUUAAAAAUCCACUGAUGGACA